rnacentral:lncRNA from 1 species
AAAGGACCCAUCUUAUUCCAAAAGCUGGACUGGCAUUCUAGCUCAUCCUGGGUCUUUCUUUGUCUGGUUGGCUGCAUUUGGAAGGACCUUGCUGAACUUGACCUCUGGUUAUGCUCUGAAACUGUUCUCUUAAAAAGCUACCAUGGAGUGGUCCUGCCAGCCCUGGCAAUGUCUCACCACCUGUGCAUCAGUGCCAGCCAAGUUGGAAGAUAGGAUGGAUGCCUGCACACUUAAAUUUUUAAUUGUUGACAUCUCUAAGUCUGGAAGUAAUUUUGUCAAUAAUGUAUUAGAGUUACAUAGCUAGAUUAUUCUACAGUAAGUUUAUGGGGUAUACUCAGUUUAUUUCAUUCAAUAAAUUGUAUAAUAAACACAGAUCCAGAAAUGGUGUUGAGUGAUGAGAUUAUAUUGAUGAAAAGACACAGUGAUUGCCUUCAAAGAGAUCAUAUUCCGGUAUGACAAUAUUUAAGAAUUGUAAUAUAUUGUGUUAAGUUUCAUAAUAGGAGUUUGCAGUUUUUGUCACCUUCUCACCUUUCUCACUUGCCUCAGAUAAGAGACAAAUCAUAGUCUCCAGUAGAUUCGCUAUAUUUGUUAUAAUUGAUUAGAAGACUUGAUAAUGAGAGAAGUCCAAACAUGCUACUUUUCAUGAGCUUUGUUUUUCUAAUUAAACAUGCAUCAUACUAUAUCAAUGACUAAAACAGCAAUUUUUAAUAUUUGUUCAGAGGCCGGGCACAGUGGCACAUGCCUGUAGGCCCGGCACUUUGGGAAGCUGAGGUGGGCAGAUUGCAUGAACCCAGGAGUUAGAGUCCAGCGUGGGCAACAUGGCAAGACCCCAUCUCUACAAAAAUACAAAAAUUAGCUGGGUGCAGUGGCUUGGGCCUAUAUCCCAGCUACUUGGAAGGCUAAGAUAGGAGGAUACUCUGAGCUAGGGAGGUCGAGG